rnacentral:tRNA from 1 species
AAAGACUUAGGUUAUUUGACCAAGAGCCUUCAAAGCUCUAAGAAAGGGUGAAAACCCCUUAGUCUUUG